AGGGUUUGAUCAUGGCUCAGGAUGAACGCUGGCGGCGUGCUUAACACAUGCAAGUCGAACGAACCUUCGGGUUAGUGGCGGACGGGUGAGUAACGCGUGAGAAUCUGCCCUCAGGAGGGGGAUAACGGUUGGAAACGACCGCUAAUACCCCAUAUGCCUACUGGUGAAAUGAAUUUCGCCUGAGGAUGAGCUCGCGUCUGAUUAGCUAGUUGGUGAGGUAAUGGCUCACCAAGGCUUCGAUCAGUAGCUGGUCUGAGAGGAUGAUCAGCCACACUGGGACUGAGACACGGCCCAGACUCCUACGGGAGGCAGCAGUGGGGAAUUUUCCGCAAUGGGCGAAAGCCUGACGGAGCAACGCCGCGUGAGGGACGAAGGCCUUUGGGCUGUAAACCUCUUUUCUCAAGGAAGAAGAUAUGACGGUACUUGAGGAAUAAGCCACGGCUAAUUCCGUGCCAGCAGCCGCGGUAAUACGGGAGUGGCAAGCGUUAUCCGGAAUUAUUGGGCGUAAAGCGUCCGCAGGCGGCUUUUCAAGUCUGCUGUUAAAACGUGGAGCUUAACUCCAUCAUGGCAGUGGAAACUGAAAGGCUUGAGUAUGGUAGGGGCAGAGGGAAUUCCCGGUGUAGCGGUGAAAUGCGUAGAUAUCGGGAAGAACACCAGUGGCGAAGGCGCUCUGCUGGGCCAUUACUGACGCUCAUGGACGAAAGCCAGGGGAGCGAAAGGGAUUAGAUACCCCUGUAGUCCUGGCCGUAAACGAUGAACACUAGGUGUCGGGGGAAUCGACCCCUUCGGUGUCGUAGCUAACGCGUUAAGUGUUCCGCCUGGGGAGUACGCACGCAAGUGUGAAACUCAAAGGAAUUGACGGGGGCCCGCACAAGCGGUGGAGUAUGUGGUUUAAUUCGAUGCAACGCGAAGAACCUUACCAGGGUUUGACAUCCUGCGAACCUCUUAGAAAUUUGAGGGUGCCUUCGGGAAUGCAGUGACAGGUGGUGCAUGGCUGUCGUCAGCUCGUGUCGUGAGAUGUUGGGUUAAGUCCCGCAACGAGCGCAACCCACGUUUUUAGUUGCCAGCAUUUAGUUGGGCACUCUAGAAAGACCGCCGGUGAUAAACCGGAGGAAGGUGUGGAUGACGUCAAGUCAUCAUGCCCCUUACACCCUGGGCUACACACGUACUACAAUGCUACGGACAAAGGGCAGCAAACUCGCGAGAGCUAGCAAAUCCCAUAAACCGUGGCUCAGUUCAGAUCGUAGGCUGCAACUCGCCUACGUGAAGUAGGAAUCGCUAGUAAUCGCAGGUCAGCAUACUGCGGUGAAUACGUUCCCGGGCCUUGUACACACCGCCCGUCACACCAUGGAAGUUGGCCAUGCCCGAAGUCGUUACUCCAACCCUUGUGGAGGAGGACGCCGAAGGUGGGGCUAAUGACUGGGGUGAAGUCGUAACAAGGUAACCGUA
rnacentral:rRNA from 1 species